GGAGGGUAAAGGCUUCUGGGGCUUACCAGUUCGUUCUUCUUAAGGAAAAGCUAACUGGGCUACGCCCUGUCAGGGUAAGCUUGAAAUACCAAACCCUAAGCUGGUGAUUAGUGGCAUUCCCCAGAGGUCAGCUUUUCCAGCUAGCACGGAGUUUCACCCAUGAAGAGGCUCAACAUCCAAAGCAACCCACUGCAAGCUCGGAAAGGUUCCACUGCUGGCCCCGCCUCCGCUCCAGGCUCCCGACCUAACCCCGCCUCCUGCUCGCACCCUGGCUUCCGAGAUCUUCAACCUUUCCUCCCGGCUCCACACUCCUGGACCUGCCCCUAGACUCUAGCCCCCUCUUUACCAGCUAACUUCUGGCCCCGCCCCCGAGGUUACAGGAGUGGGGGCGGGGCUGGGGAACCAUCGAGCGAGAUGCUCUGGCCUGCGAGCGGAUCUGAACCGGAGGAAGUCUGCCUGGUGGGACGAGGAGGGAUGGGCGUGCGAAGCCGUUUCCGGUGGCUCGCUCUGUUGGCGGGUCCCAGACGCGCCCAGACUGGGUGUCUGAAUCAAAACAAGUGGAUCCCACCCUCCAAAUCUCAUGGAGGCGGUGACAUUUGGCGACGUGGCUGUGCACUUCUCUCGGGAGGAGUGGCAAUGUCUGGAUUCUGGUCAGAGGGCCCUCUACAGGGAGGUGAUGCUGGAGAACCACAGCAGUGUGGCUGGAUUAGGUGAGGCUACACCUGGGGAUCCCCUCCAGACAUGAGUCAGCAUCUGCCCCACACUGUCAGAGAGAGAGCAGAUGUGGAUGCUAACUGCUUGGGCCUGAGAGGAUAAACUUUCAAUCUGAGUGUGUCAGGCUAGCUCCAGGCUACAUGUCACCCAACUUAGUCUUUGUGAGGUAGGUAGACUUCAGAGAACUAGUCAAACCUCUGUUUUUCCUAAGCUAUUAAAUUAUCAUAUGAGAAAUAGAACCCAUACUUGAAAUAGCUUUAACACACACGCAUGUGCACACACACACAAAAAAGAAAGAAAAGGGGAAAAGAUCUUUGUUAGCAUGGGGAUUCCAGGAAGAACUGUUCUGGAACCAGAGUGUCAGUGACACCUUGAGUCUCUUCUUUCCUUCUAUUCUGCCAUCAGACUUCUGCCACUCUUGCUACCUUCCCUGGAGGUUGCUCUAACAAUACAACUUUGUAGUUUGUUUUAACUUCGUGGUAGAACGUAUAUCCUGCUUGAUGCGUGUCUUACUUCUUACUGAGCCCUCUUCAGGGCUGAUCCCAUCAUGUUGGUGCUUACAUCAUGGGAGAACCCUGGGUUCUUGGGAGGAUGCCUGGGCUGGUGGAAGGGGAGGUGGGAAUGGGUGUAGUUUUUUUACUAGGUACUUUUCUGGGUAUUGGACCAGGCCUAUAACUGUUCAUCCCAUUCAGGCUGGCUAACUCCAGUUUUCUGAUGUCUUAGUUAAGUAGUGGCCAACAAGGGCUGGAGUAUGUACAGGUCAGUGGUUGAAUAUUCUUCUGACACACAAAGCUCUGGUGUCAAUUCCUAAUACCACAGAGAGCAAAAGAAAAAAUAAAACAAGCUGGGUAUGAUGGUGCAUCCCUUUAAUCUCAGCACUUGGGAGGCAGAGACAGGCUGAUCUCUGAGUUGGAGGUCAGACUUGUCUAUAGAGCAAGUUCAGGAUAGCCAGGGCUACACAGAAACCCUGUUUUGAAAACAACAGCAAAACAAAAACAAAAAGAAAGCAAAAAAUAACUUAAGAGUCUGGUUUUUGUGUUUGUCUAAUUUUUAAGAGUUUGGGCAUCCUGUCAUACCUUGCUUACUACUUUGUUAGGUUCUGAAAUCAUAUAUUUGUGCAGCUCUUUUGCCUUUAAAAAAACAAAAGCCAGUCAGUGCUGUUACUCACUGACUUGUACUUAGGUGUUUAGUCUAUCUUGUGUUAGAUUUCACCAAGAUCAUGAUGACAUGUUAUGAAGUGCAUUAUUAAAUGUACAUAUCAGAAUUUUAACAAAGGAUACUACUUGGUACUCUGCAAGAGCUGUCUCAGACUCAUAUAUAGUUUAUCACAUGUCUCAGUGUAAGAAGGAAACAUAGAAUACAUUGGCCAGGAUUUCCUCUUGCUCGAUCAUCCAUGUCUACUCCCUAGGGGGUUCUGGCCUGCCAGGAAUGAUGGUGUUCUCUUUCUUCUUUAGGGUUUUAUCUUCUGUGAGGGUCAAUGCCUAAGCUUUCUUGUGUCUCCUAGUGACAAAACAAACAGCCUUACCUACAUUUUCUGUCUUUUCUCAGAAAAAAAAACAAAAACAAAAACAAAAACUGUACCUACUGUUACAAUGUGCCUAUGAGUGGAAUUGC